GACGAACGCUGGCGGCGUGCUUAACACAUGCAAGUCGACAUGAGUGGCGAACGGGUUAGUAAUACGUGGGUAACCUGCCCUCCUUUUUUGGAUAAGCCUUGGGAACGGGGUCUACUACCGAAUAAAGGGGGCUGGGCUCUGGGCCUAUCAGUUUGUUGGUGGGGUAAUGGCCUACCAAGGCGGUGACGGGUAGCGGGCCUGAGAGGGUAAACGGGAACAUAGGGACUGAGAAACGGCCCAGACGACUAAGGGGUGGAGCAGUUGGGGAGAUUGGACAAUGGGCGAAAGACUGAUGCAGCGUCGACGCGUGGGGGAUGAAGGUUUUCGGGUUGUAAACGUCUGUCGCUAGCGAACGGGUAGGUGGAGAAGAAGCGCCGGCUAACUACGUGCCAGCAGCCGCGGUAAUAC
rnacentral:rRNA from 1 species